AUUGAACGCUGGCGGCAGGCCUAACACAUGCAAGUCGAACGAGUGGCGGACGGGUGAGUAAUGUCUGGGAAACUGCCUGAUGGAGGGGGAUAACUACGGGAAACGGUAGCUAAUACCGAAUACCAUCGGGUGUUGCCAGAUGGGCAUAGCUAGUAGGUGGGGUAAAGGCUCACCUCGGCGACGAUCCCGAGCUGGCUUGAGAGGAUGACAAGCAACACUGGAACUGAGACACGGUCAAGACUCCUACGGGAGGAAGCAGUGGGGAAUAUUGCACAAUGGGAGCAAGCCUGAGGCAGCCAUGCCGCGUGUAUGAAGAAGGCCUUCGGGUUGUAAAGUACUUCCAGCGGGGAGGCGUUACCCGCAGAAGAAGCACCGGCUAACUCCGUGCCAGCAGCCGCGGUAAUUC
rnacentral:rRNA from 1 species